UAUUUAUUUUAUUAAUAUAAUUUUUUGAUUUUAAUAUUUUAUAAAAAUAAUUUAUUUAUUUAGUGUUUUAGUAUUUAUUAAAAAUUAAUUUUUAGAUUUAUAGUUUAAAAGUAUUGUGAAAGAAUUAAUUAAAUUUAGUAAAGAAUAAUUUAUAGUACCUUUUGUAUCAGGGUUAGUUAAAAUUUUUAAUUUAUUUUUGAAUUCUCAAAAUUUAUAGAGUUAAUUUUAUUAUUAAGUUAUUGUAUUAAAAAUAUUUAUAAAAUAAUUUUAGUUUUGAAAUUUAAUUCGUUAUAUUAUAUUUAGUUAUUUAAGAUUUAAAUUUAAUUUAAAAUUUUAAAAGUUAUAUUUAAUUUAUUUAUUAUAUAUUUUAAAUUUAAAUUAUUUUAGGGAUAAGCUUGAAAUUUUUAUAAAAAAAAUUAAAUAUUAAAUAAUUUAUAGGAAUAGAAAUUUUUAUUUUAAGUUUGUAAAAAUUUAUUAUUUAAUUUAAAUUUUUGAUUUAUUAAAAUUUUUUUAUUGAUAAUAUUAAAUUUUAUAAAUUAAUAUUAUAUUUAUAGUAAUAAUGAGUAAAUUAGUAUAAUUUAUAAUUAUAAAUUAUGAAUUCGGCAAUAAUUAUUUUCAUCUGUUUAACAAAAACAUUGUAUUAAGUUUUAUUUAAUAUAGGAUCUGCUCAAUGAUUAAUUAAAUAGCUGCAGUAUUUUGACUGUGCAAAGGUAGCAUAGUAAUUAGUCUUUUAAUUGGGGACUUGAAUGAAAGAUUUGAUGAAAAAUAGACUUUAUUAUUUAUAAAUUUAAAAUUUUAUUUUUAAGUAAAAAAGCUUAAAUUUUUUAAAGGGACGAUAAGACCCUAUAAAACUUUAUAAAUAUUAUUUUUUAAUUAUAUGGGGAUAAAUAAUUAUUUAAAUUAUUAUAUUUAUUUUAUUGGGGUGAUAAAAAAAAAUAAUGAACUUUUUUUAAAAUUUUACAUUUUUGUAUGAUUUAUUGAAUUAAAAUUUUUAAUUAUAAGAAAAAGUUACUUUAGGGAUAACAGCGUAAUUAAUUUUUUAAGUCCAAAUUUAAAAAUUAGUUUGCGACCUCGAUGUUGAAUUAAGAUUAAUCUUAGGUGCAAAAUUUUAAGUUUUAGGUCUGUUCGACCUUUAAUUCUUACAUGA
rnacentral:rRNA from 1 species